UUUAUAUGUACCACACGUGUGCAGAAACCCUCAGAGGCCAGAAGAGGACACCAAGCCUUCUAGUGUGUUUUUGGCUUUUGUUCUGUUUUGUUUUUUAGUGAAUCAUUCCUCCAUCUUAGAGAGUUUCUUUUAACUUCUGGGAGUCAUGCUUUUGGGAAUUCACUUUAGGAAAAAAAAAGUGAUGAAUUGUGCCUUUGUUCUUACUGAAGUGACUCACUUUGAGAUAACAGUAGAUAAAACCAUGGCAUAAUACUCAGACAGUUUUAGGGUAACUUACCUCAGAUUCUCAGAACAAAUUUGAGCUGGGGAAAAAGCAAAUUAUUCUCUGGAAACUUCACUAAACAGCAGUAAACACUAGUGUGGAUAUAACCUUCAGCUAUUGGCAUCAGCUGAGAUGGCAAUGCCAACUGUAGUCCUGGCAAUAUGAUCUUGAUAGCAAAUGAUCACUGUGGUAGUCACUACAUCUUGACUCCAAAGGAAGAGUAUUUUGCUAAGAUUCAGGGAAAAAGGAAUGAGGAUAUGAAUGGUAAUGAGACUAAAGUCAUCAAGAUAAUUCCAUUCUCCUUGUCAAUGAGUGAUGUGGUUACAUCUCUAGCCCCAGAGACAUAGUGGAUGAGAUUUCUCUGCCUGAUGAAUCCCUCUCACCUAUUCAUGGUAAACAUCCUUAGUGUCAUUACCAGGGAAUACAGAGUUCCUCCAGUGAGUCCUUGGUCUUCUAGAUAAAAGAAUUGAAAAUCCAGAGUCAAAAGGAAACUUGAGGACAAUAUUGGAAUUUGACAGAAAAUGAAUCACAAGGCAGACAAGCUGAAGAUUUUGGCAGGAAGAUGGAGGAGAGGAAGUGACAAAGUUAUACUUUCUAAGAUGGAAGGGUUCUCUCCUGUGAUGGUAAAGCAGACAUGUCUUCUAAUCACAAGAGGCCAUUUGUUUCACUUGAGUAAAUGAACUUUCUGCUCCUUCUGUUCUCUUAAGGAAGCCGAAGGCAAAAAUGGAUACAAGAAAUUAAUCAUCACCAUGAUCACCAGCCCAGCUUUAGCAAGAAAGGUUUUUGCCUUCCUGGAUGCUUAAUGGGAUAUGAAAAUUGUUGACCCAGAGAAGACUUUAGCAUGAGUGGUAUUGCCAAACUGAAUGCGUUGUUGCAGACAAAUGUCAGCUGCCAAAAAUGAAGAUGGAUGGUAUGUGUGGUCCAGGGAGAGAGCCAACGCCAAGCUGAUGCGGAGACAAAGCUAGCGGCUCGAAUGUGAUGCGGGUUUACUUUUCUCUGCCGUGUCCCCCACCGCCCCUGCUUCUGACCUUGGCGCCUUGAGACAUGUAUUUAGCUUGUGGUCAACCUCUGGUUUCGACCCUGGCUUCUUAAUCUCCCCUGGCCCCCAUUCCUGUCAUAUCCUAAUCACUCCCGUCACUCCUCACGCGUCCAAGACAGACAAUUACUGCUCGUGAGCCCGUCUCCCCUGCAUGCUGUUCCGCUUCGGUCUUUGGCAAAUCGAAGGUCCAGGCAAGGCUGAGUAGAAGGGCGUGACUUGCUGCCACGUCUGAAUGAGCGUGGGCAAGCUUUGCAAGGCUGUCCUGUUCCAGGGAUGAGGCAGGCGAUGACCACGAACUGGGGAAAAUUGGUCGGCAACAGGAGAGGCCUUCUCCGGCUGGCUGUCGGGGCUCACGAACAGAAGAGGGCGGGGCACCAAGGCCUGGCUCUGUGGGUCUACUCAGGUACGAGCUCACCAGAAUCCACACACGCACGCGCAUGACUGGUGCUGUAAAUUCUGUACUGGUUUCGGGAACGCAGGCUUGAAAACAAAACUGCAUAGAAAUUAGUUUUCGCAUUUUGUGGUUGGAGUAGUUGUCGUGCUGUGAGAUUUGGGGGUGGGGUGCGAGAAAAGAUAAUAGACAAAUAGAAAAUUUGCGUAGAGAACUUGAUUUCUGUGUCCAGAAGGAAGGGUUUCCUUGUCUUUCUUAGUAAGUUUGUUAUUAUUAUUAUUAUUAUUAUUAUUAUUAUUAUUAAAUUUGCUUGUAGUGUGGACAUAUGGCAUUAUGGAUUCUAAGCUAAAGAGGAUUUUGCUUAAUAUUAUAAAACUUUUGUGAACCCCUCCCCCCUUUUUUACCAGCUAUAUUUUGUUUGAAUGCAUUCCUGAUGUUUGUAGCCAGAUACUUCCCCAGCUAGCCUUUUCUGGUCAAUGUCUAUAGGUGUUGCCUUGUCUGGGGUCUCCAAAAGACCUUCCAAAGCCGUUUGGCUGCUGGUAUUACUCUGGGCUCAUGAAACACUUUAACGAUAUGAAAUAAAAUUUACAUAUCCUUGAUAAAUCUCUCUUUCUCUCUCUCUCUCUUUUUCCCUUUUGCUGGCUAAGCAAAUUAUCUACCAUUGAGCUAAAUUCCCCAGCCUA